rnacentral:misc_RNA from 1 species
GAACGCACAUUGCGCCUAUUGGUAUUCCAUUAGGCAUGUCUGUUUGAGCGUCAUUACAACCCCUCAGCGCAAGCUGGUUUUGAGCCGGUCAGUCGUAAAAAGCCGACCGGUUUUAAAGUUGUAAGCUCUGCUGGCUGCUACGCCCAACCAAAAACAUAGUAAACUUUUGCUUGUUUGAAGGUGAGGCUUGCAGGUUAACCGGCCUGAACAAAACCUACUAUUUCUAAGGUUUGACCUCAGAUCAGACAAGGAUACCCGCUGAACUUAAG